UACGAAGGGGGGCUAGCGUUGCUCGGAAUUAUUGGGCGUAAAGCGCGCGUAGGCGGUUACUCAAGUCGGAUGUGAAAGCCCUCGGCUUAACUGAGGAAGUGCACCCGAAACUGAGUAGCUAGAGUACUAAAGAGGGUCGCGGAAUUCCCGGUGUAGAGGUGAAAUUCGUAGAUAUCGGGAGGAACACCGGUGGCGAAGGCGGCGACCUGGGUAGAUACUGACGCUGAGGCGCGAAAGCGUGGGGAGCAAACAGG
rnacentral:rRNA from 1 species